GAUGAACGCUGGCGGCGUGCCUAAUACAUGCAAGUCGAGCGAACAGACGAGGAGCUUGCUCCUCUGACGUUAGCGGCGGACGGGUGAGUAACACGUGGAUAACCUACCUAUAAGACUGGGAUAACUUCGGGAAACCGGAGCUAAUACCGGAUAAUAUAUUGAACCGCAUGGUUCAAUAGUGAAAGACGGUUUUGCUGUCACUUAUAGAUGGAUCCGCGCCGCAUUAGCUAGUUGGUAAGGUAACGGCUUACCAAGGCAACGAUGCGUAGCCGACCUGAGAGGGUGAUCGGCCACACUGGAACUGAGACACGGUCCAGACUCCUACGGGAGGCAGCAGUAGGGAAUCUUCCGCAAUGGGCGAAAGCGUGACGGAGCAACGCCGCGUGAGUGAUGAAGGUCUUCGGAUCGUAAAACUCUGUUAUUAGGGAAGAACAAAUGUGUAAGUAACUAUGCACGUCUUGACGGUACCUAAUCAGAAGGCCACGGCUAACUACGUG
rnacentral:rRNA from 1 species